rnacentral:rRNA from 1 species
GAUGAACGCUAGCGGCAGGCUUAAUACAUGCAAGUCGAGGGGCAGCACGAAUAGCAAUAUUUGGUGGCGACCGGCGCACGGGUGCGUAACACGUAUACAACCUACCUAUAACAGGGGGAUAGCCUUUCGAAAGAGAGAUUAAUACCCCGUAAUAAAUUGAAUGGCAUCAUUUGAUUUUGAAAGACUACGGCGGUUAUAGAUGGGUAUGCGUCUGAUUAGCUAGUUGGUGAGGUAAUGGCUCACCAAGGCGACGAUCAGUAGGGGAUCUGAGAGGACUAACCCCCACACUGGUACUGAGACACGGACCAGACUCCUACGGGAGGCAGCAGUAAGGAAUAUUGGUCAAUGGGAGGCAACUCUGAACCAGCCAUGCCGCGUGCAGGAUGACGGCCCUAUGGGUUGUAAACUGCUUUUGUACCAGAGAAAACCUAUCUACGUGUAGAUAGCUGAUAGUAUGGUAAGAAUAAGCA